CACAUCGCGGGUAUUCAGGCACAAGAGUGGCUCUGACUGCUGGUCUCACACUGGAGCCUUGCAACACAAGUGGCCUCCUGGGCACCUCUGAGGAGGAUGACGAUGGUCCCAGCUCAGCUCCAGGGUACCACAGUGAGCCCCAGGCUAACAGCACAAGGAUCACCAGCCCCCUGCCCCUGGCCAAGCCACCCCAUGCAGGCCUCCAGCUCCACAAGUACCCCAGACA